rnacentral:rRNA from 1 species
UAGGGAAUAUUGCACAAUGGGCGAAAUCCUUAUGCACCCCUUCCCCCGGUAUGAAAAAGGCCUCCCGGUUUUAACUACUUUCACGUUGGAGGAAAGGGUUUUAGUUUAUACCGCUAUCUCUUUACCUUACCAACACAAAGAAGCACCGGCUAACUCCCUGCCACCGCCCCCGCCAUUACAGGAGGGUGCGAGCGUUAAUCUAAAUUACUGGGCGUAAAGCGCAUGCGGGUGUUUCUUUAUAUCAUAUGUGAAAGCCCGGGGCUCUACCUCGGAACUGCGUUUGAAACUGUUGAACUAUAGUACUGGAUAGGGGGGUAGAAUUUCAGGUGUAGCGGUGAAAUGCGUAGAGAUCUGAAGGAAUACCAGUAGCGAACGCGGCCCCCUGGACAUAUACUGACACUCAGAUGCGAA